rnacentral:lncRNA from 1 species
CACGAUUUCAUAAUAGAAUCAAUUAAAUAUCGGAUAGAAACUAAAAAAAUGUUAUGGUAAAACUUCGUUUGAAACGAUGUGGUAAAAAGCAACGUGCGACUUGAAAGACGUGAUUCGGAUUAGCUGUGGAUUCUGAUAUCCGCCAUUUUUUCUAGUAUUAGUAUAUAGAAAUCAGAGGUGCUCUUGGCUCGACAUCGUUUGUUCUAUUCCACUAGAAUCCAUUGUUUGGGGGAUCCCUCGGAGAGGAUUUGAUGAUGUAAAUAGUACAUGAUGGAGCUCGAGUUGAUUCAUUUUUCAGGGGCAAGUAUCUAAGGUUAGUGGAGAUUAAUAAGUUAGAAUAACUUCGUAAGUAAACUUUUGAUAGAGAAAUUGAAAGGAUCCAAUUCGAGCACGGUUCAAAAGAGUCAAAAUUUGUAGGAAUUGAUAAAACUUUUUUGACCAAAAGUGUAUCCUGUGGUAAUCAAAUUCACCUUUUAUUUUUAUGAUUCUUUUAGAUAAAGAAAAAAUGGUAUGUUGCUGCCAUUUUUUGAAACGAUUAAAGAUCCCGAAGUAAUGUCUAAACCCAAUGAUUCAAGGAAAAGCUAAAUGAUUCUGGAACAAGUAAAUACCAUUUUCAAAUUGUCUCACCAAUUCUAGUCGACU